GAUGAACGCUGGCGGCGUGCCUAAUACAUGCAAGUCGAGCGAACGGCCGAGAAGCUUGCUUCUCUGAUGUUAGCGGCGGACGGGUGAGUAACACGUGGAUAACCUACCUAUAAGACUGGGAUAACUUCGGGAAACCGUAGCUAAUACCGGAUAAUAUUUUGAACCGCAUGGUUCAAAAGUGAAAGACGGUCUUGCUGUCACUUAUAGAUGGAUCCGCGCUGCAUUAUCUAGUUGGUAAGGUAACGGCUUACCAAGGCAACGAUGCAUAGCCGACCUGAGAGGGUGAUCGGCCACACUGGAACUGAGACACGGUCCAGACUCCUACGGGAGGCAGCAGUAGGGAAUCUUCCGCAAUGGGCGAAAGCCUGACGGAGCAACGCCGCGUGAGUGAUGAAGGUCUUCGGAUCGUAAAACUCUGUUAUUAGGGAAGAACAUAUGUGUAAGUAACUGUGCACAUCUUGACGGUACCUAAUCAGAAAGCCACGGCUAACUACGUG
rnacentral:rRNA from 1 species